GCACAUGUGACAGACUUGCGCCGUAGCACUUGUUUACAAAAAAUUAGAUAUUCUCAGAGAGUAUAUACAAGUACAGUGGCAACGUAAAAUCUGUUUGCUUCGCUUGGAUACAAAAUUAACCUUUGAAUAUGAAAAUGAAAAUGGGGAGGUUUGCACUUCGACUUUAAGACCUUUUGUGCCCUCUAUUCAUCACAGUAUUUCAUCCGAGCCCAUUUGCCUCAAUAAAUCUAAGAUGAGGUUGUUCUAAGCGUAUAUGACUGUAUUCUAGCCGUAUCAGAUCGAGAUGUCCCUCUUCUUUUUGCUAUGGCCUAUUCGAGAAAAAGAUGUGUUAGAGCUACCGAAGACUAAUCGCACAGGAGCCAGUGGACCAUUUCGCGAACCUGCGUAAUCUACAAUUCUAAUGAACAUUUCUAGUUGGUUGCGAUUGGAAAUGAAUGGUGGACAAUAUAUAUUUUGAAUUAAAUAAGUUAAGUACACCAAAAUCCACACCCAGUGAAGCUUUUCAUGUUGUACUAACUACUGUACCGUGUAAACGAAAACAGUGAAUUCUUAAAAAUUAAUGAAUAUUUCUUUUAUUAGGAAAUUGUUUAGAUUCUUUAUUUAAUCCUUUAUUAUUUUUCUUGUGGAAUUUUACCACAAUCAGUCCUGUUUUCCUUUGUAUUAAUUGUUGUACUAAUUUUAUUUAACAUUAAAAAGUGUUGUAUUGUUAUUUUACGUAAUUUCUUUCGCCUCGUUUAAUCUUUAUUUUCAUUCAAUUGUAGUAGAAAAUCUAACUUAAUUCACAUUCCAUGUGCGCUUUAGGAGCUCAAUUCUAAAAAAUAUUUAGCAUUAAAUAAAUCAGACAAAAAAUGUAUAAAAUAAUCGAGAUAAUAGAAAUACCGAAAACAGUUGCCAAAAUAUUUAAAAUUAUAUUUGUUCGUAU